CCUACGGGAGGCAGCAGUGAGGAAUAUUGGUCAAUGGACGAGAGUCUGAACCAGCCAAGUAGCGUGAAGGAUGACUGCCCUAUGGGUUGUAAACUUCUUUUAUAUGGGAAUAAAACGUUCCACGUGUGGGAUUUUGUAUGUACCAUAUGAAUAAGGAUCGGCUAACUCCGUGCCAGCAGCCGCGGUAAUACGGAGGAUCCGAGCGUUAUCCGGAUUUAUUGGGUUUAAAGGGAGCGUAGGUGGAUUGUUAAGUCAGUUGUGAAAGUUUGCGGCUCAACCGUAAAAUUGCAGUUGAAACUGGCAGUCUUGAGUACAGUAGAGGUGGGCGGAAUUCGUGGUGUAGUGGUGAAAUGCUUAGAUAUCACGAAGAACUCCGAUUGCGAAGGCAGUUCACUGGACUGCAACUGACACUGAGGCUCGAAAGUGUGGGUAUCAAACAGGAUUAGAUACCCUAGUAGUC
rnacentral:rRNA from 1 species